rnacentral:rRNA from 1 species
AAUAGAUACCCUGGUAGUCCACGCCGUAAACGAUGAGUGCUAAGUGUUAGGGGGUUUCCGCCCCUUAGUGCUGCAGCUAACGCAUUAAGCACUCCGCCUGGGGAGUACGGUCGCAAGACUGAAACUCAAAGGAAUUGACGGGGGCCCGCACAAGCGGUGGAGCAUGUGGUUUAAUUCGAAGCAACGCGAAGAACCUUACCAGGUCUUGACAUCCCGCUGACCGGCCUAGAGAUAGGCUUUUCCCUUCGGGGACAGCGGUGACAGGUGGUGCAUGGUUGUCGUCAGCUCGUGUCGUGAGAUGUUGGGUUAAGUCCCGCAACGAGCGCAACCCUUGAUCUUAGUUGCCAGCAUUCAGUUGGGCACUCUAAGGUGACUGCCGGUGAUAAACCGGAGGAAGGUGGGGAUGACGUCAAAUCAUCAUGCCCCUUAUGACCUGGGCUACACACGUGCUACAAUGGACGGUACAGAGGGGUCGCAACCCCGCGAGGGUGAGCUAAUCCCAUAAAAACCGUUCUCAGUUCGGAUUGUAGG